rnacentral:rRNA from 1 species
GACGUAGGGCGCGAGCGUUGUCCGGAUUUAUUGGGCGUAAAGAGCUCGUAGGCGGCUCAGUAAGUCAGGUGUGAAAACUCCAGGCUCAACCUGGAGACGCCACCUGAUACUGCUGUGGCUAGAGUCCGGUAGGGGAGCAUGGAAUUCCUGGUGUAGCGGUGAAAUGCGCAGAUAUCAGGAGGAACACCAGUGGCGAAGGCGGCUCUCUGGACCGAUACUGACGCUGAGGCGCGAAAGCGUGGGGAGCAAACAGG